UGGCGGCCGCCGUUCUCCUCGCCUCCUCGGCCUGGCUGCCACCUUCUCACCCUCGGGGGAGUCCCCGCGCGCUGUGCUCACUCGAGGAAGAGAAGCUCAGGCACGGGCCCGGACCCGUACCAGACUCCUGAUUGCAGCCUGAGCUUGCCAGAGGAGGGAGAUGUUAAUCAGCCUGGGUUCCACCAGAGUGAAGCAGAGAAGCCCAGACCAUGUGGCCUGUCUUACGAAUCUCUAACCCUUGACAUCUUGAGCCUAUGCUGUCUCCGGUUAAACUGAGGCAUCUAGAGAGGCUGUUCCAGCACCUUUUAUUGAAAAGACAUACUUUUGGGGAGGACUCAAGAUGGCGCUGUGAGAACAACCCAGGAUUGGAGCUCUCAUUGAAUCCGCAAAGAGGUGAGUCCGAGCUGCAUUUUUAGACUGAUCUUUGUUGCCCACAGAACGGGGAAACUCCCAAGUAUAGAAAAGACACGGGACGCCAGGCAGUAAGUCUGCCUGGCGAAGCCGGCAGCCGGGGCGGCGGCGGCCAGCCCUACCCAGCAAUCCCCACAGGGUGCGCUUGUCCGGGUGCCCUGUUGAACCAGCAACCUGAGACUUGAGAGGGCUGGACUUGAGACUGAACGAGACUUGGACAGUAGGCCAGCCCAGGGGAUUGCAGGGACAGAGCGUUCGGGAUACCCAGUGGGACGAACAAAACCGCGAUUUCAAACUAUCCCGAGCAGACGGUCCAAGACGCUCUGUGGGGGAGGGGAAUCCACCACUACCGAGGCAACCUGCCCCAACUGAGAUACACGCCCACUGCUGACGCAGCCAGCCGUUGCCGAGGCAACCCGUCCCUACUGAGAUACACACCCACGCGGACGCAGCCUCCCGUUGCCGAGGCAACCCGUCCCUACUGAGAUACAUGCCCACUGCUGACGCAGCCUGCCGUUGCCGAGGCAACACGCUACAACGAAGAGACUCUGCCGCAGGGCGUGGCAGAGACCACAGCAGAGCCUGCAGGAACAGGGCGAAUCACACAACAUCAGGGCGGAGUCUCGGCAGGCAAACAGUGGCUAGUCUGCCUCCUAGCUGGGCAGGACACCUCAAAGAACAUCGAAAAAUAAAGCCCGAAUCCCCCAACACACAGCAUUUGAGAAAAAAAAGGGUUUUUUUAAUGAGCUCUGUUGCAGCAGAAUCAAACAUAGCAGCCUAACAGCCCUGAAUGAACAACAGACCUCACAGCUCAGAAAUUGAGCUCCUAAAAAGAACAGACUGUCUCCUCAAGCAGCUCCCUGACCCCUCUAUAUCCAAAAGACUGACAUUUGGCAGGCAUCAUCCUGGGACAAAGAUAGCAGAAAAAGAAACGGGUAGCAUUCCUCGCUGUGCCACAGCUGCUAGAGGUGCACCCCAGACAAGCAGGGCCUAGAGUGGACCUCAGCAGUCGUACAGCGAAGGGGCUAGGCUGGUAGAAGGAAAACAAAGUAACAGAAAUACUUCAUCAUCAACAAUCUGGGUGUCCACUCAGAGACCCAAUCGAAAAGUCAGCAACUACACAGACGACAAGCGGAUAAACCCACAAAGAUGGGAAGAAACCAGCGAAAAAAGGAGGAAAACACCGGAAACCAGAAUACCUCGCCUCCUAGAAAGGACCAAAACUCCUCACCAGCAAGGGAACAAAGCUGGACCGAGAAUGAGUGUGAUGAAAUGACGGAAUUAGACUUCAGAAGGUGGAAAAUGAGAAACUUUUGUGAGCUAAAAGAACAUGUAUUGAAUCAAUGCAAAGAAACUAAGGAACUUAAAAAAAGAUAUGAGGAAAUGAUAACAAGAAUGGAUAACGUAGAGAGGAAUAUGAAUGAAUUUAAGGAGCUGAAAAACACAAUACGAGAACUUCGCGAAGCAUGCACAAGUUUCAAUAGCCAAAUUGACCAAGCAGAAGAAAGAAUAUCUGAAGUUGAAGACCAAUUCAAUGAAAUUAAACGAGAAACCAAGAUUAGAGAAAAAAGUGCAAAAAGGAAUGAACAAAGUCUCCAAGAAAUGUGGGACUAUGUGAAAAGACCUAACCUGCGUUUGAUAGGUGUACCAGAAGGGGACGAAGAGAAUGAAUCCAAGCUGGAAAAUACUCUUCAGGACAUCAUCCAGGAAAACUUCCCCCACCUAGCAAGACAGGCCAACACUCAAAUGUAGGAAAUACAGAGAACACCACAAAGAUAUUCUGCAAGAAGAGCAACCCCAAGGCACAUAAUCGUCAGAUUCAACAAGGUUGAAAUAAAGGAGAAAAUACUAAGGGCAGCCAGAGAGAAAGGUCGAGUUACCCACAAAGGGAAGCCCAUCAGACUCACAGCAGAUCUCUCAGCAGAAACACUACAAGCCAGAAGAGAGUGGGGGCCAAUAUUCAACAUUCUUAAAGAAAAGAACUUUCAACCCAGAAUUUCAUAUCCAGCCAAACUGAGCUUCAGAAGUGAAGGAAAAAUAAAAUCCUUUGCGAACAAGCAAGUACUCAGAGAUUUUGUCACCACCAGGCCUGCUUUACAAGAGCUCCUAAAAGAGGCACUAAACAUAGAAAGGAACAACCACUACCAGCCAUUCCAAAAUGACACUAAAUGCUAAAGAGCAUCAACAUAAUGAAGAAUCUACAACAACUAACAGGCAAAACAGCCACUUAGCAUCAAAAUGGCAGUAUCAAAUUCACACAUAACAAUAUUAACCCUAAAUGUAAAUGGACUAAAUGCACCAAUCAAAAGACACAGACUGGCAAAUUGGAUAAAAAUCCAAAACCCAUCAGUGUGCUGUAUCCAGGAAACCCAUCUCACAUGCAAGGAUACACAAAGGCUCAAAAUAAAGGGAUGGAGGAAGAUUUACCAAGCAAACGGAGAGCAAAAAAAAGCAGGAGUUGCAAUUCUCAUCUCUGAUAAAAUAGACUUUAAAGCAACAAAGAUCAAAAGAGACAAAGAAGGCCAUUACAUAAUGGUAAAAGGAUCAAUAAAACAAGAAGAGCUAACGAUCCUGAACAUAUAUGGACCCAAUGCAGGAGCACCCAGAUACAUAAGGCAAGUUCUUAAUGACUUACAAAGAGACUUAGACUCCCACACAAUAAUAGUGGGAGACUUUAACACUCCACUGUCAAUAUUAGACAGAUCAACCAGACAGAAA